rnacentral:rRNA from 1 species
UGCUAUAACACAUGCAAGUCGAACGGUAAGGCCCUUCUUGGGGGUACACGAGUGGCGAACGGGUGAGUAACACGUGAGUAACCUGCCCUUGACUCUGGGAUAACAGUUGGAAACAGUUGCUAAUACCGGAUAUGAACCCCUGGGGCAUCUUGGGGGUUGGAAAGUUCCGGCGGUCAGGGAUGGGCUCGCGGCCUAUCAGCUUGUUGGUGAGGUAGUGGCUCACCAAGGCGACGACGGGUAGCCGGCCUGAGAGGGCGACCGGCCACAUUGGGACUGAGAUACGGCCCAAACUCCUACGGGAGGCAGCAGUGGGGAAUAUUGCACAAUGGGCGGAAGCCUGAUGCAGCAACGCCGCGUGCGGGAUGACGGCCUUCGGGUUGUAAACCGCUUUCAUCCAUGACGAAGCUAUUUGUGACGGUAGUGGGAGAAGAAGCACCGGCUAACUACGUGCCAGCAGCCGCGGUGAUACGUAAGGUGCGAGCGUUGUCCGGAAUNAUUGGGCGUAAAGAGCUUGUAGGCGGUUUGUCGCGUCGGUAGUGAAAACUCGGGGCUUAACUCUGAGCUUGCUUCCGAUACGGGCUGACUNGAGGGA